rnacentral:rRNA from 1 species
GAUGAACGCUGGCGGCGUGCCUAAUACAUGCAAGUCGAGCGAACGGACGAGAAGCUUGCUUCUCUGAUGUUAGCGGCGGACGGGUGAGUAACACGUGGAUAACCUACCUAUAAGACUGGGAUAACUUCGGGAAACCGUAGCUAAUACCGGAUAAUAUUUUGAACCGCAUGGUUCAAAGGUGAAAGACGGUCUUGCUGUCACUUAUAGAUGGAUCCGCGCUGCAUUAGCUAGUUGGUAAGGUAACGGCUUACCAAGGCAACGAUGCAUAGCCGACCUGAGAGGGUGAUAGGCCACACUGGAACGGAGACACGGUCCAGACUCCUACGGGAGGCAGCAGUAGGGAAUCUUCCGCAAUGGGCGAAAGCCUGACGGAGCAACGCCGCGUGAGUGAUGAAGGUCUUCGGAUCGUAAAACUCUGUUAUUAGGGAAGAACAUAUGUGUAAGUAACUGUGCACAUCUUGACGGUACCUAAUCAGAAAGCCACGGCUAACUACGUG